AUUGAACGCUGGCGGCAUGCCUUACACAUGCAAGUCGAACGGUAACAGGUCUUCGGAUGCUGACGAGUGGCGAACGGGUGAGUAAUGUAUCGGAACGUGCCCAGUCGUGGGGGAUAACGCAGCGAAAGCUGUGCUAAUACCGCAUACGAUCUAUGGAUGAAAGCGGGGGACUCGCAAGGGCCUCGCGCGAUUGGAGCGGCUGAUAUCAGAUUAGGUAGUUGGUGAGGUAAAGGCUCACCAAGCCUGCGAUCUGUAGCUGGUCUGAGAGGACGACCAGCCACACUGGAACUGAGACACGGUCCAGACUCCAACGGGAGGCAGCAGUGGGGAAUUUUGGACAAUGGGCGCAAGCCUGAUCCAGCAAUGCCGCGUGCAGGAUGAAGGCCUUCGGGUUGUAAACUGCUUUUGUACGGAACGAAAAGGUUCUCUCUAAUACAGGGGGCCCAUGACGGUACCGUAAGAAUAAGCACCGGCUAACUACGUGCCAGCCGCCGCCGUAAGAC
rnacentral:rRNA from 1 species